UUAGAUGCAAGCAUAUCUCACAAAUCUCCACCUCGCUUCAUCAACUCGAACACUGCUAUCUGCAAACCAACAUUCAAACAUCAUAUCAUCUUCACCAGCUUGAGAUAAUGCUCAAACUUAGCUCUGGGUAAUGCCUUAGUUAAAGUAUCUGCUGUAUUAUCCUCAGUUGGGACCUUUGACACCUGAAUUACUCCUUUGUUCACCAAGUCACGAACAAAAUGAUAGCGCACAUUGGUGAAUCGCAAUUGAGUGGAUAGUGUUUUAACCGGGAAAUCAUGAUCGGGUUGUGAAUUUUACCUAGUAUUGAACGUGAGAAUCGAAAGAGAGUAGAGUAGAAUUGAAUUGUCAAGAACAAAAAGGAAUUCGCCGUUGUGUUGAGAAAGAGCACGUAAAAAUACACGGUACAAGUGCAUGGGCAUUUAUAGAGUACACUUUAGGGGCAAAAUAGUAAUUUCAGUCUUGAAGUCACGUUCCCCGCGUGGUCAGGGGUACGAUGGUAAUUUUGCCUGCCUUCGCUCAUUCCUCUGCUCAGAGGUAGAGAACCGUGUGUAUCGGGAAGCUUUGGAUUUCUCUGCGGACAGAUGAUUCCUCUGCUCUGACGCUUCCCGGGUAAAGUGGUCUUUUCUGCCGUUGACUGUCCGUGAGUGGAACAUUCCUCUGAUCCGAUUGAUUCCUCCGACCCGAGUGAUUCAUCUCGCCCAAGCUCAUUCCUCUGCUCUGCACAUAUUACUCCUCAUCAGCUACUCCCCCUCUGGUCUGGCUAGUUGCUCUGAAAACGGAGUAACUAGUCAGAGUGUUCGCCCGUGUUGCUGAUGUCACCCGCAUUAAAUGCCCGUCCUUUUGCAGCAUACUUUUCCGCAUCCCGAGAUACCUUUUCAGCCUUUUCGUAUUUCCGUAAAAAUCCUUGGCCGUCGAUCUUUCCCUCGGUGCCACGUGUCGUUCAUCCCGCUACCCUGCUAUCGCCCGCGUGGGUUAAACUUAGUAGAUUCAAACUCAAACUUUCACUUCUCAUUUUCUUCGUUCUUGCUUCAUACGUUUCAACUGCUCUCAUUAUUUUCGGCGGUCUUCCUUCCCCGAUUCCGGCGUACACUUUGCGAUUUAUCUUCCUCAACCGCAGUCUUAGGUAAAUCCUCCAUCCCUUCUUCCUAGUACUUGUGUUUGGCGUGGGUUGGUUGUUUUGAGUUUGUUGGUGCUCUGCUUAGAGCUUGUAAACCCUAGGUGAUAGUAUCCAUGGCUUCUUCCUCCGCUAACCGCCCUGUUUUUUCCCCUUCUUCUACCCCUACUCCUCCGGCUUCUCCACCUUCUUCUCCUGAUCCCCAGAAUCCUCAAGACCCUCCGGCUCUUCCACCGUCUUCUCCCGCUCCCCAGAAUCCUCAAGACCUUCCGGCCUCCCCUGAAUCUUCCCCACCUCCUCCUAAGAUGCCUAAGCCCAUUCCUAUAUCCAGGCUAGAUGUCGCAGAUAUGCGUAAAAUGGUCGAAAUAUGUAAAAACCCCGCAAACCUGAGAUUCGAGCCACAGACUAAGUCUUUGGAGCCAUUCCAUAGAAUGCAUAUGAACACCGUGGCUAUAUGGCAAGCCCAAAUUGACACUAGAUUGAGACUUCCCCCUCCCCAACUCUUAAUAGAUAUUUGUAAUCAUUUCCAGAUUCCUUUCUAUCAGGUAGCACCCUCCGCCCUCCGGAGAUUAUAUUGUUUCCAUAUCUUAUGUAAAUUUCAUGGUGUCAACGACACCAAAAAGUUAUUCCUCCAAACCCAAUCCCUAAGAUUACAGGGUGGUCCCCUAUACAGCUUUGCCGCCCGUAAAACGUACCCCACCACCUUCCUUAGUUCUCUGAACUCUUAUGAUAAGGGUUUUCUGUCCUAUUACUGCUACGUGGUAACCGCCACUGGUAGUUGGCGCCAGUACGGUGCCCAAGAGCUAAAGUGGCAUGAUGUUCGUUCCAAACAUAAGCUUGCUUCCCAAUGAACCCCCAGUAAUUUUGAUCUGGGGGUGAUAGCCAAACUUAACGCCUCUAAUAAAGAAGAGCCCCUCCCCUGCAAACAACUCACCGAGAGCAACUCGGCUUUAGCAGCCAAUGAUUUAUUCCCUCUGUAUCCACGUACAGCUAUAGGUAAUGUCACAUGUUAAUAAAUAUAUGUGUCGGCAUUGCCCUGAUUUUGAUGAUGUAGCAUUGUUUAUCUGCAGGCAUGUCGUGGAGACAGAAAUGACGAAUAAUCCUGUCCGCUGACCGUCCCUCUGGUCCCGGGGGACGUGGUUCUAGGGCCCAAGGUUUCGGCGGUAGAGGCUCUGGGGACGCCAGCUCCAGGGCAGACACGUCAGAGCAGCCCGCUGGCUCUGAAGUGGACACCUCUCGGACGGUGUCCGACGCCGCAUGGGUGAUCACCCCUACGCGAAGCCUUCUUCCAGGCAGGGGAAAAUCCAUGGAGGUCCUAGAGAUGUUCAGCCCGGAUCGGCAGAAGGUCGGUGGCUCUGGUGCCAGCUCUCAUAGGGCAGAGGGGGGGUCUGCUCUCACUGCUAUUUUCGGGGGUGAUACCCCCUUGGUGGAUCUCUCCGAGGAUGCUCCCGUACCAGAGAAGACUCCGGA
rnacentral:lncRNA from 1 species